rnacentral:ncRNA from 20 species
CAUGGACCCGCAUCUUCCGCGGGUGGCUAUGCCGGGCGCCUAUCCCCCGGCCCAUC